CUUUAUUUACGAACCCUGUCACUGGUGAAUUAAACAGGAAUGAACUUUCCUUAGACCUGACUAAAAGUUACAUUUCUAUUCCAUUUGGUAUUCACUGUUGGUGAGUCUAUCUCCCAGAACUACAUAAGAAGAACAAGUUCAGCUUGGGCUUUACUUUAACAGAACAUAGAUCUAGAUCUAGAAUUGUAGACUAGAUUCAUUUUGUAUCCAAUCCAACUUACUUGGUAAAGACAGCAUGACUUCCAUUCACCCUGGUGGUAAUCCAUCUGCCCCUCCACCUUAUGACAGUGCUUAUCCCCCAACACAGGGCUACGGCCCCCCACCUCCAGCUUAUGGCUCAGGUCCUGCCUAUCCACCUCAAGGCUAUCCACCACCUCCACAAGGAUAUGGCCCACCACCACCCGCUGGCGGCUACGGACAACCGGGGUACUAUCAACAGCAGCCGUACGGGUACGGCCAUCCUGCUGGGACAUAUCAACAGCCACCAGCUGGUGCCUAUCAACAACCACCCCAACAAGUAGUGUAUGUGCAUGAAGAUAGACAUAAAGACCGUGACAAUUCUGCAGAAACUUGUUGCCUUCUGGCCUUAUGCAGUGCUCUUGUAUGCUGCUGUUUAUGGGAUUAACAAGUCAAGAAAGUUCUAGAGCAGCUAAGGAUGGUUUUUUGUUACAGGAGAACUUCAGAUCCAAAAACUCAUGCAAGCUCUUUCACUGGUGGUGUGGGUUACUAUUUUUGAACAUGCAGAUUUUUUUUUUGACCAAUUCAACAGGCAGAAUAUUUAUAAAGUCAAUGUUACAGAUCAUUUAUUAAUUUAAUGAGAUUUUUAAUAAUUGUAUUUUUGUAAAUAUUUUUAUAUCGACUUUAUAGAAGACAAACUAUGUCCAAAUCAAAAUCUCCAGAAAAUGAACUUGUAGAUUUCAUUCCCAUAAUUAUUAAAAAUAGUGCAAAAUAUCAAUUUAAAAAUAAUUUGAUUCUAGUUUUCUGAUAUUUUACAUCUGUGCACUGGCAGGUUGUGUUAUUGUCCAUAUAAGUAAAAAUGUACAUUAAUUUUCCAAAAAAUUGGACAUACUGUGUCUUCUGUACAAUUGAUAUAUCUGAAGAUCUGCAAGAAUGCUGUUAAAAGUGCAAGUCAUUCAUUUUGUCAAUUAAUCUUUUUCUUUUAUUUAAAUUUAUUGUUUAUAUCUCUUAAUUUUCAUAUGUUUAUUUAAUGUACACGGUAAAAUUGAUCUUUACAACUAAUUUUAAAUAAAUAUUUUUAAUAGGGUAUUUUUAUUAAGUUUCGUAGGUUUUUUUCUUAUAAGGGAGUUAACUCUGUAAAAAUUGUUAAUAACCAAAUUAUUAAAAAAAAAGUGUAGUAUUACGUUAAAAGUGUUUUUAAUUACAUUUUUAACUUCAUUAAACAUAUUUUCACUAUGAAAAGUGUUUUAAAAUAGUUUUAGCUAACAUUGUUUAAAGUUUAGUUUAAAGAAACAUAACACUUUUUUACUUCUGAAUUUAGUUAAUUUAGUCUUAAUUGUCACCCAUGUAGAUUACAGUGUACUUAGUUUUUUAUUCCUAGCAUAGAACAAUUGUGUAAAUUAUUUAUCUAUAUAGAUUUAUUUAUUAUUAAGUUUUAAGGAAUUCUACAAACUUGACAAAAAAGUGCAUCAUCGCUGCAAUUUAAUGAAUCAAAAAAUUUAUUUAUUAUUACAUUUAUAUUUUAAAAUUUCCUAAUAGAAGUUUUAGCACAAGUAAUGUAUCAUCAGCAAUAUCUGCAUCUCUAUUUCAUACAUUUUUAAAAAUGUAUUCAGACAUGCCUACCACUUGUGAUCACUUUAAUCAACAGUUUUUCUUAAAUAGCAAACAUUUAAGCCUCCAUGCAGAAUAUUAAAAUAUACAAUUUAAAAGUCUUUUAAUAGCCUAUCAGAGCAUAGUGUCGAAUUCACAAAUUAUGAAUAGUUGAUAAGUAAAAUAAAACAAUUAGAUAGCGGCGCAUGCUAAGUUAAUUUAUAUAGGCUAAAACAUGUUUAAUUUUUUUUAGAUUCUUCAGCUUGCCUCCCUUGUUUCCAAAUUGCUACUUUCUGUGUAACACUAAAUAGUACACCCUGUCCUGGGAUGUACAUCAUUGACUCAUUAGAAUCCCAUUAGAAUUUUUCUUCUUCCCACCAUAUUUUUACAGUUACAAGUGUAGGCGUAACUUUGUGAAACAACUCUGUACUUGGUAGGCAUGUCUGUAAUAUUAUUGCCAGAAAAUCACAAGCACAUUGAAUCAAACUUUUCCACAUCACAUUUGCAGCCACAGCAUUCAAAGUUACAGGAAUUCAUGUAAAAGUGAGUUUAAGAUCCGAGGUUUGCCACCUUCAUCAGAUGGGUUAGCUUUACGUUAGAUUAAAAAUUGUCUUACAAUACAUGUUAAAUUACAGUGUCUCCCAGUACUCAAAGAGUGUUAGAUAAUUUUACAACAUGUUGAUCUCAUUAUUCCUCACAGCUGGCAUUAAGUAGGAAGUGUGUUGAUAAUGUUACAAAUGGUCAAAUCUAAUUUUACUUUUGUUGAAAGCAUCUCUAUUCAUGUUUGUUUAAGUGUGUGCAUUAAUGUUGAUAUAAAAAGUGUCUUAAUUAAUGCUAGUUGAAAGUGUGUAAAUUAAUGUUACAGAUAAUCUGUUGUUUGAGCUCAAACAGAAAAUGUGAUCAAAUCCUUUUUAUUUAAGCAAUCCACCUUUUACAUAAACAAGAUUAAAAAUGAAAUAUAUGAUACAAUAGUAUCAAGAGCUUUACCUAUUAUUAUUUUAGCAUAAUAUUAAUUAGUAAAGAAUUUUACUGUAUUAAUUUUAGUAAAAUUUACCAGUACGUUUGCUUUAUAUUUUUUUAUAUACAUUAUUUACCAAAAUGUGCAUUAUGUUUUUUUUUUUUAUGCAACAUUCCUUCUGUCAUUAAUGUAAUGUGUGUUUCAAGUCUAAAACAUGUAAAACAUUCAUGUGAAAAUUGGCUUUGACUUUGUACAUAAAACACUUCUUGUAUAGGUGCUCUUGUGGUUAAUGCUUUUAGCUCAGUAUGCAGUAGCUAUCCUUUUAUUGUAGUAAAAGUUCUGCAGCUAUAUAUCCCUUGGGUAAAGUAACUUAACUGAGGUAUGCUAGUCUUCACUACAUAGAAUCAAAAUAUUUUACAAUAAAAACAUCUGGGCUAAAUAUCUUUAAAAACUUGUUCUCAAAAUUUGAAUUUCCCUGACUGUAAAAUCGCCUAAGCUAUGUUAUGUAAAUUCAUUAUAAUUAUUAAAAUUAGUUAAAAAUACAAGCAAUAACAGAAGUGGUUGUUAAAAUUUCCUUUGCAAUAUUUAUAAUAGUAUUUCAUGCCAAUACAUUCUUCCCCUAUUUUUGUUUGGUGUUGUUGCGUAUAGAAAUUUUCAACAACUUUUCAAUAUCCUGGGUGGUGGACUUUCAUACAAGUUGGGUUUUUUACAUUCAGAUUAAUAAAAAUGUUAAUCAAAUACUAAUUUGUGUAGCCAAAAGAUUGUUGUAAAGUUAUCUAGCAUGAACCCUAUUGGAACGUCUCAGUGUUGUUGGCUCAGGAAAUUUUGUACAUUUUUAUUUAAAUCCACACUUGUACAUUUUAACAUUUUUUUUUUGUUUGCAAUAAAAUAGACAGAUUAACACCUUGAG